CCAUGCAGCUCUUGUCCAACAUUGGGUUUCAGCGGGACCAUGUCGCUUUAUCAGCAUGGAAGUCUUUCUUUUAAUGGAGCAAGUCGACGCCCUUGCAUAUUUUAGUGAAGUGAAAGAGAAAGAAACUUAUGAGUAGGCUAAAAUAUAUUUCCUUGUUAUAGCUUUGCAGUCAGACAAUACGUGACCAGAGCCAGAAUGGCGUUUCAGGUCCGCAUCAGGAUUAAUAAAAAUGCGAUUAAAAUAUUGUCCGUGGCAACAUCAAGUGAUGAAUUUGAGAAGUUCACCAUUGGAAUGCUGAAGGAAAAAGCCUUAAAUUUGUUUCCAGGAGUAGACGAUCCAGGAGCCCUAAGGGUGAUUUUUGGUCAAAAUGAGCCUGAAGAUGAUGAAACAUUUGAGUCUUGCAACAUUGAACAUCUGUCUGUUCUUGUCGUCGUGCUCAUAAUGCCUGGUGGAGUAGUUCUUCGUCUUAGAGUCAUUUGAAGAUGUUGUGUAGUGGGUGCCAUACUGUGAGUCAUACAGCAGCACUUUGGGAGAUUUCUAGUGUCAGACUGAUGUCUGGUCUCUCUCUCUUCAAAUUGUCCAUUCCAACAUCAAAAAUCUGCAUUCUAUUAGAUGUCACAAGUAUAAUUUAUUUGAUUAUAGUGGUUAUAGUGUGCAGGUAGAAAUGUUUUUAAGUAGAAACUUGUUAUAUAUAAGAAUUAUGUAUUUUUGUUUUGUGUAUGUAUAAUAUGUUUAAAAUUCAACUCUCACUGUAUAAUACUGUGUAUAAAACCUAUGACUAACUGCCUUUUUGAGGUGUUGUUGAUCCAUCACUUCCACCACUUCAUUUCAGUUCAGAUAAUGCGUUCGAUACUGUAGACCAUAAAAUACUUCUAGAUCGCUUACACAAUUAUACCGGUAUUCAGGGACAGGCACUACAAUGGUUCAGAUCUUACUUAUCAGACAGACAUCAAUUUGUCCAUUUAAAUGGAGACUCAUCAAAUCUAACGCAAGUAAAUUGUGGAUUACCUCAGGGAUCGGUUUUAGGACCCUUGCUAUUCUCCAUAUACAUGCUGCCCCUUGGAAACAUUAUUAGAAAACAUGGAAUUAGCUUCCACUGUUAUGCAGAUGAUACUCAGCUAUAUAUCUCAUCAAGACCAGAUGAUUCCUUCCAACUAUCCAAAUUGGCAGAGUGCAUCGACGAUAUAAAGCAUUGGAUGACUUGUAAUUUCCUUCUUUUAAAUUCUAAUAAAACAGAAAUAUUACUUAUCGGACCAAAGACACGUGAGCAGAAUAUUUCGGAUUAUGACCUGCAAAUUGAAGGCUGCACUGUUACUCCAACAAAUACAGUUAAAGACCUUGGCGUUAUAUUAGACAGCAACCUGUCAUUUAAAAAUCACAUCUCAAAUGUCACAAAAACAGCCUUCUUCCACCUUAGAAAUGUUGCCAAAUUGCGAAAUAUUUUAUGUGUGGCUGACGCAGAGAAGCUUAUUCAUGCAUUUGUGACCUCAAGACUUGACUACUGUAAUGCACUGCUUAGUGGUUGUCCUGCAGCAUCAAUAAACAAACUACAGUUAGUUCAGAAUGCAGCUGCCAGAGUUCUAACCAGGUCCAGAAAAUACGAUCACAUAACCCCAAUGUUAUCAACCCUUCACUGGUUACCCAUUAAGUAUCGUAUUGACUUUAAAGUUCUUUUAAUUACUUAUAAAGCCUUAAACGGUUUAGCCCCUACCUACAUAACAGAGCUUCUACCACACUACAACCCAUCACGCUCUCUAAGAUCUCAAAACUCCAGACUUUUGAUAACACCUAGAAUAACUAAAUCCACCAAAGGGGGUAGAGCUUUCUCAUACGUAGCACCUAAACUCUGGAAUAGCCUCCCCGAUACUAUUCGAGGGUCAGACACACUCUCCCAAUUUAAAUCUAGAUUAAAGACACAUCUUUUCAGCCAAGCAUUCACUAAUACAUAGCUAAUGAACAGCAGCUACGCUAAUUAUUCUCUUUCUGUUUCUGCCCUCGCCUCGGGAUGCCCAUCCCGAGGUAGGGAGAGAUUCCGCCAGGCCCAGAUGAACGUCAUAUGCCCAUCCACAACUAGAGAUUACGCCAGCUACAUCGGAAAAUCCCGUGCCAUCCUCCUGCGAGAGCCUGUGGACUGACUGACCAUCCCAGCUCCAUCCAAGGCAAUUCCAUCACCACCCAAGAAAAAGGCGACCAUCUGGCCGGCCCAGCUCAGACAAUUCCAUCCCCAACCGAGAGCAAAGACGGACUACCUGUCACAUAAAUGCUAAAUUUACAAUACUUGGUAUUUAAUGCUAAACUUACAUCACACGACAGCAGUUUGAAGUUAUGGCUGCACUCAGUGACUUUGAUUGGAGGUAGCUGGGUGGGUGUUGUAGGGAGUGGGGGGGCUUGUUGGUUGUGGUUCGGGGCGUUUCAUUUGUUGGGACUGUGUGGGUCUGGUCUGGUUGGUCUUGUUUUGUGGUCGAUGUCGGACAACAGAGGAAUAAAGUUAAUUAUGCCAUUACUACUUUUCCCUGGUUGUUCCUCUGUUGUCUGUUGUUGAUCGCGGAAUGGGACCGGGUUGGACCUGCACGGUUUCGGCGGGUGGGGCUUCCUGGGUCGCGGCUCGUGGGCUCUCCCUGUUCUUCGUGGACGUUGCUCGGUGGCUUUGGUCGGGGUCACUGAGUGCAGCUAUGACACGUCAGAGGAGAUCUGGCCCUCCCGGCUGAGCCUGGUUUCUCCCGAGGUUUUUUUUUCUCCAUUAUUCAGCAUUGGAGUUUGGGUUCCUCGCCACAGCAGAGCAGUGCAGUGUUGGCUUGCUCACCGGGAGACUGCAUUUAUUUAUUUAUUUAUUCAUUUAUUUAUUAGAUAUUAUUUAUUAUAAUGAUCUUGCUUGGUCUAUAAACACCAUGCACUGUGCUGUGUUUUACCUUUCUGUGUUUUUCUUAUUUGCUCCUGUAAAGCUGCUUUGGAACAAUGCACAUUGUGAAAAGCGCUAUAUAAAUAAAAUUGAAUUGAAUAAUAUUUUUAGGCCUAAAUAAAAAGGGCCAUUCUAAAGACCAAAAAAAUGGUGUAUAAUACUAACUUGUUUUAUUGAAAAGAGAGUUUUUAAUUUAUAACGUAGGGAACAACUCUAAUACUAUGCAUUCGUUCAGAUGUCAUAAUGUAGUAAGCAAGUAUAGCAAUUAAUGUUUUUCCAAAUAAUGUUAUUUCAGUUCAGAUAAUAUUUUAGGCUAAAUCGUACACUGUAAAAAGUAAUACCUUAGUUCUACUCAAUAAAAUUAUGGCAACAGAUUACAAGCAUUUUUUUAAAAUUAAAUACAACUUAUUAGACAUGAGUAAAUUUCAAUCAUUCAGCAUAAAAAC